AUUAUACCGUGAAACUGCGAAUGGCUCAUUAAAUCAGUUAUCGUUUAUUUGAUAGUACCUUACUACUUGGAUAACCGUGGUAAUUCUAGAGCUAAUACAUGCUAAAAACCCCAACUUCGGGAGGGGUGUAUUUAUUAGAUAAAAAACCAAUGCCCUUCGGGGCUACUUGGUGAUUCAUGAUAACUUCUCAGAUCGCAUAGCCUUGAGCUAGCGACGGUUCAUUCAAAUUUCUGCCCUAUCAACUUUCGAUGGUAAGGUAUUGGCUUACCAUGGUUUCAACGGGUAACGGGGAAUUAGGGUUCGAUUCCGGAGAGGGAGCCUGAGAAACGGCUACCACAUCCAAGGAAGGCAGCAGGCGCGCAAAUUACCCAAUUCCGAUACGGAGAGGUAGUGACAAUAAAUACUGAUACAGGGCUCUUUUGGGUCUUGUAAUUGGAAUGAGUACAAUUUAAACCUCUUAACGAGGAACAAUUGGAGGGCAAGUCUGGUGCCAGCAGCCGCGGUAAUUCCAGCUCCAAUAGCGUAUAUUAAAGUUGUUGCAGUUAAAAAGCUCGUAGUUGAACCUUUGGCCUGGCUGGCAGGUCCGCCUCACCGCGUGCACUUGACCGGCCGGGCCUUUUCUUCUGGAGAACCGCAUGCCCUUCACUGGGUGUGUUGGGGACCAGGACUUUUACUUUGAAAAAAUUAGAGUGUUCAAAGCAGGCCUUUGCUCGAAUACGUUAGCAUGGAAUAAUAGAAUAGGACGUGCGGUCCUAUUUUGUUGGUUUCUAGGACCGCCGUAAUGAUUAAUAGGGACAGUCGGGGGCAUCAGUAUUCAAUUGUCAGAGGUGAAAUUCUUGGAUUUAUUGAAGACUAACUACUGCGAAAGCAUUUGCCAAGGAUGUUUUCAUUAAUCAGUGAACGAAAGUUAGGGGAUCGAAGACGAUCAGAUACCGUCGUAGUCUUAACCAUAAACUAUGCCGACUAGGGAUCGGGCGGUG
rnacentral:rRNA from 1 species